GUCCAUGUCACGGCUAGCGCACGCGUCCGUCAUCGGGCGACCCUCCUCGCGGGCUAAGAGCAUCCUCGACCCCCCCGGACAAACCCUAACCCACUAGCCCCUCUCCCCCUCAGUUCCUCCCCUUCCCCAUAGCCCGCAACCGAGCUGCCGUGGCCAUGGUCGUCGUCGUCGUCGCGGCCACCGACUUCCCCGGCGCCUGAAAAGAUGUCCGGAGCUGCGUCAUGGACGUCUCCUUCGACUAGUGCUACCGGUUCGAGCGGGGAAGCACUACAUCACCGGGAUCGACGCGACUUCCUCGCCUACGGCUGCCGCUGCCCCGCGCCCGAUCUACCUCACCGGAGCUCCUUCGCCAUGCCGGCCGCGUCCUCCGCUUCCCCCACCUCGAGACCGACGCUGAUGCCUCUGAGUACGACUACGUCAACGACGACCCCUCCUUGCCAGAGCAACCAGAUAUCGGAGCCCAGGAGCCAGAUGCGACCGUCGAUGCCUACUACUAUGUGGAGACCGUCGAUGACCAGGAGUAGUUAGGAGGCUCCCAGGCAGGAGGCCUUGCCUUUUCGAUCGUUGCUACUUUUGUGCUAGCCUUCUUAAGGCAAACUUGUCUAACUCUUGUCUGUACUCAGAUAUUGUUGCUUCCGCUGACUCUUGUGUAUUCGAGUUUAUGUAUUCGAGCCCUCGAGGCCCCUGACUUGUAAUAUAAAGCUUGUAUUAUUUUAAUUUGUGUC
rnacentral:rRNA from 1 species